UGUGACGGCAGCCGGCGGCCACGGCAUUGCCGUGGCCUGUGACCAUGGCGAUGAUGUCCAGGUGGCGGCGCUGUUCGAGCGUGUGCGCCGCGA
rnacentral:tRNA from 1 species